AGUAACAUUCUGUCUUCCUUCCCUCCUCUCCUCAGGCAAGACUUCUUGGCAGCUGGGGACUCUGGGACUUCUUCCUGCCACAUAUGAACCACAAAUAGACGAGGACUAUAAGGGAGUUCAUUAGUUUGGAAGAAGGUACUCAAAGGUCUCAGGGGCUCACCCUUGGGGUAAAGACCUUUCUGACAACACAGCUUUGACUGGCAUGGCACUGGACUAAAAUCAAGAGACUCAAGAUCUACCCAUGGCUAAAGAGCUUACCAUUCACUGCCCUUGGUAAGUCAUGCUUCUUCCUUGAGCUGAGAUUAUUUCAGUAAGAUCAGGGGGGUAGAUCUGAUGACUUCCAGUUCACACCUACCUAGUAAAAG
rnacentral:lncRNA from 1 species